rnacentral:rRNA from 1 species
CCUACGGGAGGCAGCAGUAAGGAAUAUUGGUCAAUGGACGCAAGUCUGAACCAGCCAUGCCGCGUGAAGGAUGAAGGUCCUCUGGAUUGUAAACUUCUUUUAUAGGGGGCGAAAAAAGGGAAUUCUUUSUCACUUGACGGUACCUUAAGAAUAAGCACCGGCUAACUCCGUGCCAGCAGCCGCGGUAAUACGGAGGGUGCAAGCGUUAUCCGGAUUUACUGGGUUUAAAGGGUGCGCAGGCGGGCGAUUAAGUCAGUGGUGAAAUCUUCGAGCUUAACUCGGAAACUGCCGUUGAUACUAAUUGUCUUGAAUACUCGGGAGGUGAGCGGAAUAUGUCAUGUAGCGGUGAAAUGCUUAGAUAUGACAUAGAACACCGAUUGCGAAGGCAGCUCAAUACAGAGAUAUUGACGCUGAGGCACGAAAGCGUGGGGAUCAAACAGGAUUAGAUACCCUGGUAGUCCACGCCCUAAACGAUGAUUACUCGACAUACGCGAUACACAGUGUUUGUCCAAGCGAAAGCAUUAAGUAAUCCAC